rnacentral:rRNA from 1 species
GACGAACGCUGGCGGCGUGCUUAACACAUGCAAGUCGUACGGUAAGGCCCUUUCGGGGGUACACGAGUGGCGAACGGGUGAGUAACACGUGAGUAACCUGCCCACAACUUUGGGAUAACGCUAGGAAACUGGUGCUAAUACUGGAUAUGUGCUCCUGCUGCAUGGUGGGGGUUGGAAAGCUCCGGCGGUUGUGGAUGGACUCGCGGCCUAUCAGCUUGUUGGUGGGGUAGUGGCCUACCAAGGCGGCGACGGGUAGCCGGCCUGAGAGGGUGACCGGCCACAUUGGGACUGAGAUACGGCCCAGACUCCUACGGGAGGCAGCAGUGGGGAAUAUUGCACAAUGGGCGCAAGCCUGAUGCAGCAACGCCGCGUGCGGGAUGACGGCUUCGGGUUGUAAACCGCUUUCAGCAGGGACGAAGCUUUUUGUGACGGUACCUGCAGAAGAAGCACCGGCUAACUACGUG